ACUCCUACGGGAGGCAGCAGUGGGGAAUAUUGCACAAUGGGCGCAAGCCUGAUGCAGCCAUGCCGCGUGUGUGAAGAAGGCCUUGGGUUGUAAAGCACUUUCAGUCGUGAGGAAGGUGGUAGUGUUAAUAGCACUAUCAUUUGACGUUAGCGACAGAAGAAGCACCGGCUAACUCCGUGCCAGCAGCCGCGGUAAUACGGAGGUGCGAGCGUUAAUCGGAAUUACUGGGCGUAAAGCGCAUGCAGGUGGUUUGUUAAGUCAGAUGUGAAAGCCCGGGGCUCAACCUCGGAAUAGCAUUUGAAACUGGCAGACUAGAGUACUGUAGAGGGGGUAGAAUUUCAGGUGUAGCGGUGAAAUGCGUAGAGAUCUGAAGGAAUACCGGUGGCGAAGGCGGCCCCUGGACAGAUACUGACACUCAGAUGCGAAAGCGUGGGAGCAAACAGGAUUAGAUACCCCUGGUAGGAUAGCG
rnacentral:rRNA from 1 species